CCGAGUUAGGGUCCUCUGGGCCCGAUCUCCAACCCUUUGUGAAAUCGACCUUUGUUGCUUUGGCAGGCCCGUCCUUUACGGGACCGCCGGGGGGUUUGUCCCUCUGGCCCGUGCCUGCCAGUAGCCCAUUCAAAUUCUUUUUUUAACGAUGAAGUCUGAAUCAUAAAUUAAAUUUUAAACA
rnacentral:misc_RNA from 1 species